GGGGAUUACGGCCUCGGCCUCGCCCAGGAGGAGGUCGUUCCGGUCGAAAUUCUCGGUAAGUCUGGGCAAAGAAAAUUUCCAUCAGGACAUUUUCUCGAUAUGAAUGAUAUAUCCUACCUGAAGAAGGAACCUGGAUUUGAAUUUCAGGGUGGGAGCAUCAAAUUCUGCAGUCCGUUGGGAGAAAACUGAUGAACAAUUCUUCCUGGUACCUUGUUCUUCAUGACAAGGAGCUCCAUGUAUGCCACCGACCAAAAGAAACCCGAGUAUGGAAGACACAAAAAACAUUCUAGCGAGUGCCAUCUCUUGCUAACAAAUUUGAGACACUUUUCAUGGCAGACCUUUCAACUUAUAGCUUUCACAAAGUCCAAGUCAAGGAUCUCGUCUCGUUUGUCAAGUUAGUAUAUAAAGCCCAAAAACUCGUAUU
rnacentral:lncRNA from 1 species